rnacentral:rRNA from 1 species
CAAUAGCGUAUAUUAAAGCUGUUGCGGUUAAAAAGCUCGUAGUUGGAUUUCUGUCAAGGACAACUGGUCCGCCCUCCGGGUGAGCACAUAGUUUGGUCUUGGCAUCUUGCUGGAAACUGUUGCUGCGCUUGGUUGUGUGGUGCAGCUUUCAGCACUCUCACUUUGAGGAAAUUGGAGUGUUUCAAGCAGGCACAUGCCUUUGGACACAGUAGCAUGGAAUAAUUAGAUUGGGCUUUUGCUCCAACUUGUUGGUUCCUGGAGCUGAGGUGAGAAUCAAUGGGGAUUGUUGGGGGCAUCCGAAUUUAGCCGUCAGAGGUGAAAUUCUUGGAUCUGCUAAAGACGGACAACUGCGAAAGCGUUUGCCCAGGAUGUUUUCAUUGA